AAAAUCUAGACCCAAUGAAAUCCCGUCUCAAGAACCCAAAUUACAAGGAGGAACGCCACAAAGGAUUGCUGGGUGUGCAAGAUGAAACACAAUGGUAUAAAGAGUGUAUACAUCAGCAGGUCUAUGGUUUAAAAGUUUGGCUUGGAUCUCAUAAAGGACUGUUUUGCAUGGACUGGUCUGGAAUUUAUAGUGACGCACUAAUGUAAUUUUUAAGUGUCUAACAGAUAGUUAGAUUCCGGUUCUGAAAAGCAGUUCCCCUCAAACAUGCAAAUCACCAAUUGCCGGUGGAUGAGCACAACAAUGACAAUGCCAGCAGCAAAGAGGGCAUUUUUUUAGCAAAAUACCAGGCGAUGCCAUGUUUUGGCGCCAAGAGAGAGCUAUGAAUGUAAGCAGGGUGAAAGAGUAAUGACUGGUCCAAUUCAACUGAGUUGUUCACUUAGGGUCUGCAUUGUAUUAACAGAUAGUAAUGGUUAUAAAUGGCUAAAAGUAUCUUUCUAAUCUCCAA